UACGUAGGUGACAAGCGUUGUCCGGAUUUACUGGGCGUAAAGAGCGCGCAGGCGGUCGAUCAAGUCGAGUGUGAAAGCCCCCGGCUCAACUGGGGAGGGUCAUUCGAUACUGAUCGACUCGAAGACAGGAGAGGGUAGUGGAAUUCCCGGUGUAGUGGUGAAAUGCGUAGAUAUCGGGAGGAACACCAGUGGCGAAGGCGACUACCUGGCCUGUUCUUGACGCUGAGGCGCGAAAGCUAGGGGAGCAAACGGG
rnacentral:rRNA from 1 species